ensembl:lncRNA
GUAAGGCAUUUCACGAGCAAGCAGCACUUACGAGUGCUGCCCGCUAAGUUUGUAAAACGUUGUCUAAAAGUUUAGAAAGAUUCAGUCCCUUUCCAAAGGAAUGUGAAGAUGAAGUCACAGACCAUGUGUUUAGGGCUCUCUGGCCUGGCAGGAAUUCUGCACCCUGGGAAGAGUUCAGAGUGGUCUGCAGGCAGGUUCGCAUGGGAGUUGUCCAGCCUUUGGGACUCUAAGCCUUUAUAUCUAACUCUGAGAUAUGGGUUAUCAACCUUUUAAUUGAUUUUUUUAAAGUUUUUCCUGCCUUCAAAAAGGUUAUCUGUUUAAACAUGUCCUGGGUAAUUUUGUGUAUCCAUAGAGUGGGAAGGGAGAUAGGUUGACGUUAAUGUUUUGGGUGCUCUCCAUGGAGGUUAUUCUGGCACUUUCUACCGCCCUUUGGCCACUUGAUUCGAAGAGCCAACUCAUUGGAAAAGACCCUGAUGCUGGGAAAGACUGAAGGCAGGAGGAGAAGGGGACGACAGAGGAUGAGAUGGUUGGAUGGCAUCACCUACUUGAUGGGCAUGCAUUUGAGCAAGCUCCGGGAGUUGGUGAAGGACAGGGAGGCCUGGCGUGCUGCGGUCCAUGGAUCACAAAGAGCUGGACAAGUUGUAUCUGAACAACACAAUGAACUGAACAACAACCUCAUCACCGCCAUUUCAAGUUUCUCCCGCCCUCCGGGGCUCCUUACUAAAACCAACGUCCUCAUUAAGCUUUUUGGGUCCUUCAGCGAGAGGUGGUGGCUCUUCCUCCAUGACCCCCAGUGGUGUUUUGCUUGUAUUUCUUACACCAUAAGAAAUUUCUUACACCAUUUCUUACACUCUAAGAAGAAGAGUUGUUUGGGCGCUUCUGUUGUGUCCUCUGACAGUACGUUUUGUGAAGACUUUAUUUUACUAUAUUCUUAACAACUCUCACAUCACCCGGCAGGCUGGAGUAACUGGUCUUGAAUCUGAUCGAGAACCUUGAGCACAGGAGAUGCCUAUCAUCUAGUUGGCCUAGAGGCAGGCCUGUGGCAAAGCUGGGGCCAAGAAGUGAUUCUCAACAGAGAGAACUAAAAAUGAAGCUGGAUAUGCAGUGAGUCUCCAGAGACUAUGUCUUAAGAAGUCACCGAAGCCUUGAUCUUUCUCUACAUGAAAAUUAAAUCCUCUUCGGAAAAUAUCAUAAAGUCAAAAGUCAGCCUAAAUAUGGAAGAAACUAUUUGCAAGGCAAAUUUUCUUAAUUUACAAAGAGUUCAUUAGGUCAUUAAUAUAAUCCCAUAAAAGAAAGGUAAAUGAGACAGGAAAUUCACAGAGAAGAAUACAAAUCAAUGAAAGAUGUAAGAAAAUAUAUCCACAUUAUUCCUAUUUAAAGAAAUACAAACAAGAAACGGAAAAAGAAGAUGAAAAGCUUUAUGAAGAUAAUGAAAGGAAGGUCUGUGGGGCUUCCCAGGCGGCACUAGUGAGAAAGAACCUGCCUGCCAAGCAGAAGAUGUAAGAGACGUAGGCUCAACCCCUGGCUCGGGAACCCCCGGAGAAGGAAACCACAGCCCACUUCAGUGCUCCUGGCUGGAGCGUCCCAUGGACAGAGGAGCCUGGUGGGCUACAGUUCUGCAGUGCAGACUCGGACACAACUGCAGCGACUUCGCACGUGCACGCAGCGGGCCUUACGUGCGGCGCAAGGGGUCUCCACUCCGUCACUCGGCAUCUUGGCCGUGGGGCUGGGUUCUCAGCUGCGGCGCCUGGGCUCUGGGGCGCGAAAGCUAGUGGCCGUAGCGUGCGGACUCCUGCGUGUGGGGUCUUAGUUCCUUGACCAGAGAGUGAACCCGCGUCCCUGAAUUGGAAGGUGGAUUCUUAACCACCAGACAACCAGGGAAGUACUUAGAACUGUAUUU